GUGUGUUUUUCUGGAGAGUCCACACUGUAGACUGGAGACUCUGAGAUUGAGUUCCUGCAUUUUGUCAGAGAUCAGCUGUGCUUCUCUGGCCUCAGCUCUGAAGACCAACCCCUCCCAUCUGAGACACCUGGAAAUGUGGGGAAACAAGCUGAAGGAUUCAGGAGUGAAGGAUCUGUCUGAUCUUGUGAGGAGUCCAAACUGUAGACUGCAGACUCUGAGAUGGAGGUAGUGAUCUUUCUAAAGGACAGAGUGAAGAGGACAGCGUGUGUGUUGAGAGAG